GAUGAACGCUGGCGGCGUGCCUAAUACAUGCAAGUCGAGCGAACAGACGAGGAGCUUGCUCCUCUGACGUUAGCGGCGGACGGGUGAGUAACACGUGGAUAACCUACCUAUAAGACUGGGAUAACUUCGGGAAACCGGAGCUAAUACCGGAUAAUAUAUUGAACCGCAUGGUUCAAUAGUGAAAGACGGUUUUGCUGUCACUUAUAGAUGGAUCCGCGCCGCAUUAGCUGGUUGGUAAGGUAACGGCUUACCAAGGCAACGAGGCGUAGCCGACCGGCGAGGGUGAUCGCCCACCCUGGAACGGAGCCACGGUCCAGACUCCUACGGGAGGCAGCAGUAGGGAAUCUUCCGCAAUGGGCGAAAGCCUGACGGAGCAACGCCGCGUGAGUGAUGAAGGUCUUCGGAUCGUAAAACUCUGUUAUUAGGGAAGAACAAAUGUGUAAGUAACUAUGCACGUCUUGACGGUACCUAAUCAGAAAGCCACGGCUAACUACGUG
rnacentral:rRNA from 1 species